AUGGACUACAGCAGGAAAUGUAAAACUCCAAUCUUCAGUCCUGUGCAGGCUCUUGAAGGGGUUGGUGCAGCAUGGAGCAGAUUGCUGUGGCAGAGGUUUGGGGACACCAGUGAGUGGCCUGUGAGGGAGGACCUAAGGGGAGGCAGCAGAGGCCUGCAGAGGAAGACGGAGAGCAAGGAAGCAGCUGUCGGCGUUCCCUCCUGGAGGUCUAAGCUCCGAGCCUCGGUCCUGUCCACUCUAGCUCCUCCUUUCCCCCUGCGACAAUAAGGAACACAGUACUCAGAGCGGCUGAUAACUGCUGAUCCUCUUCUUGCGACUGAUAUUGUAAUGCUUACCUAAAUUUUCUGGGGAAAAAAUUCGGUUCCUCUUUUAUCAGUGUUCGGGGAGUAUUUGAACUUGCAGAAAUGGGUGCGGGUGUGUUCAGAAAACUAAUAUCUGAUCACUUGGGAGGGAGAUGGAUGGGAGAGGGGCACAGGCCAGAUUCUCCUCCAUAGCUAAGAUGAAGAGGAGCUUCCAGGCGUUGGGCUCACUCCGUAUCCUGGAGUGUGGGUCUCUGAUACGCUGAUGCUUUGAGCUGAGCGAUGGGAAGGAGGAGAAGCACGGCGUUUCUGACCUUCUCCAUCCCCGUGUGCAGCCCUCUGUCUCCCUCCAAGCAAGUCAUAGAAGCCGGAACUUCGCUUCCCCAUGGUGAGUCACAGAAACUAGAACUCCUCUCCCUCAAAGGGAGCCAUGAGCCCCGAAAUGUUCCCCUCUGCUCUCUCUUCUCUCCCGAAGACCCUCAGGUGAGAGGCGGCAGGGCCUGGACCCAGAGGAAGGGGCACUAUGCAGACAGGCGGUGAAGAGUCCGCGCAGACAGGCCUGCUCCUAUCCCUUUAAGUUGUCACCAUUGGGCUAUACCCUUUUUACACAAUGACACUGCUACAUAGCCAUCCAUUCUUCAUCUAAUGUAAGCAUACAAAUAUCAUUUUCCUAGGUCUCCAUUUCUUCAAUCUCUCACGUCACGUAAAACUUUAUUAAAUAAACUCAUAAUAAUUUUCUCUUGCUAACCUGUCUUUGCUAUAGAUGUGUUGGUCAUGACCCUUACGUUGAGUAUUACAGCUUUCCACCCCUGCACAGGCCAGCAGGUGCCCCCUUAUGGUGGGAAACAAGGUCCCUACUUUGCCCUAAUCUCACCUGAAGCACUAGCAAGGCCCAUCCACAUAAUGGGACAGGAAGGGCUUCUGGCACACCUGGGUUAUGUGAAAUACACUUGUUUGUAUUACAAGGUCUUUCUCGUAAGGAUUUGUAAGCAGUGUGGGAAAAGUGUGGCACUGAAUAUUUCUUCUACAAGCGCUAAUUAAAUGCCUUAGUGCCAAUUAAAAGCACUAAAAAAUGUUUGUUUU
rnacentral:lncRNA from 1 species